rnacentral:rRNA from 1 species
CCUACGGGGGGCAGCAGUGGGGAAUAUUGGACAAUGGGCGAAAGCCUGAUCCAGCCAUGCCGCGUGUGUGAAGAAGGUCUUCGGAUUGUAAAGCACUUUAAGUUGGGAGGAAGGGUUGUAGAUUAAUACUCUGCAAUUUUGACGUUACCGACAGAAUAAGCACCGGCUAACUCUGUGCCAGCAGCCGCGGUAAUACAGAGGGUGCAAGCGUUAAUCGGAAUUACUGGGCGUAAAGCGCGCGUAGGUGGUUUGUUAAGUUGGAUGUGAAAUCCCCGGGCUCAACCUGGGAACUGCAUUCAAAACUGACAAGCUAGAGUAUGGUAGAGGGUGGUGGAAUUUCCUGUGUAGCGGUGAAAUGCGUAGAUAUAGGAAGGAACACCAGUGGCGAAGGCGACCACCUGGACUGAUACUGACACUGAGGUGCGAAAGCGUGGGGAGCA